CAAUAGCGUAUAUUAAAGUUGUUGCGGUAAAAAGCUCGUAGUUGGAUUUCUGUUGAGGGCGACCGGUCCAUACCACGUAUGCGCAUCUGGCUCGGCCUCGGCAUCCUCUCGACGGACGUUUCUGCGCUUGAUUGCGUGGAGCGGGCUUCGGGACUUUUACUUUGAGGAAAUUAGAGUGUUCACGGCAGGCUAUCGCCAGGAUACAUUAGCAUGGAAUAAUACUAUAGGAUCUCGGUUCUAUUUUGUUGGUUUCUAGAAUUGAGAUAAUGAUUAAUAGGGACAAUUGGGGGCGAUUCGUAGUCAACACGUUAGAGGUGAAAUUACUUGGAUCGUGUUGCGACGAACUACUGCGAAAGCAUUUGCCAAGGAUGUUUUCUAUUGAUUCAAGAACGAAAGUAAGGGAAGUCGAAG
rnacentral:rRNA from 1 species